CUCGGAUGUCAUUUCGGGGGAACCCAUCACUGCGUUUUUAGUGAGCUCUGGAACUUCAAGUGGGAAUCAAAAGAUAUUUCCUGCGAACAACAUCUUCUUUAAGAAUAUUCAAAUCUUCUAUACGCUAGGCUAUCUCGUUAUGUCCAAGCAUUUCAAUGGUUAUAAGCAAGGAAAGGUGAUUAGGUUUACGUUCAUUCAUCCGACAUCCACAACUCCUUGUGGUUUGCCUCUUGCUCCUACGGUAACUAGCUUCACAAAGAGUGAAUUUUUUAGGAGCCUGCCAAAAAAUAGUCCAAGCCCCUACCAGAUCAUACUGUGUCCGGACGCCAAACAGAGUAUGUACUGUCAACUUCUCUGUGGUCUUGUCCAGAGAGAUGAGGUUGUAAGUGUUGGUGCUGUGUUCGCUUCUGUUUUGGUUCAAGUUAUCCAUUUUCUUGAAAAUUACUGGAAAGAGUUGGCUAGUAAUAUCAGAUGUGGUCAUGUCAGCGAGUGGAUCACCGACCUUAGCUGUAGAGAGACCGUCACUACCAUCCUUGUUGAGCCAAAUCCUCAACUGGCAGAUCUUAUCGAAAACGUGUGCCGACAAGAAUCUUGGCAAGGUAUAGUUUCACGACUUUGGCCUAAAGCCUAAUGCAUUGAUGCUAUUUUUACAGGAAGCAUGGCUCAAUACAUCCCAGCAUUGGAGUUCUACACUAAUAAACUGCCUCUAGUCUCUAAAUCUUAUGCAUCUUCUGAAGCAUUUUUCGGGUUAAAUUUGGAACCUCUAAGCAAACAUGUGUCCUACACAUUUCUACCCAACAUGUCAUACUUCGAGUUCAUAGAUGUCGAUGGAGGAACCGAGGGCGAGAUUGUUGAUCUUGUGAAUGUGAAGUUGGGUCACCACUAUGAGCCCUUGGUCACAAACUUUUCAGGUUUACACAGAUGUAGAGUGGGGGAUGUUUUAAAGGUCACUGGUUUUUACAAUAUGGCACCUCUGUUCAGAUUUGUACGUAGAAAAAAUGCGGCUUUAAGCGUUCACCUAGAGUCAACGACUGAAGAAGAUCUUUUAAAAGCCUUGGCUCGGGCGACACUAGUUCUUGAAUCUUCGGAUUUAGUGAUCAUGGGUUUCACAUGCUAUGCCGAUAUCUCCACUGUUCCGGGUCACUAUGUUUUUUACCUGGAACUCAAAUCAAAAGUCAACAAUAAUAAUAGCACUAAUGUUCUAUCACUUGAUAACAAGGUAUUGGUGGAAUGUUGUUGUGUCAUGGAGGAAUCAUUGAAUAGUUUUUAUAGGCUCUUCAGGAGCAAAAAUGGUUCGAUUGGAGCUCCAGAGAUAAGAGUGGUGCAAGAGGGAACGUUUGGUUCUCUCAUGGAGUUUUUUGUCUCCCGAGGUGCUUCUAUAACUCAAUACAAGACACCUAUAUGCAUAAACUCUGCUGAGGCUUUAAAGGUUCUUGAAGACAAGGUUCUUGCUCGGUUCUUCAGUGACAAAUCCCCUCCUUAUCUGAUCCUGGCGUGAUGAUGACCACCACCAAAAAAAACUACAUCACCCUAAUAAUGAAGCAAUAAAUUUGUCUGGUGAGUGGUAUGAGUGUUUUAUAAUUCCUUGUUGUUUAUGUCUUGUGUGCUUUUUCUCUUUUGUCGUCAUGUUUACUGUUGUGGGUGUUUCAGUUAAAUGUGAUUGAUGCAUUCUUAUGUUUUUUGAAAAAAACUGUGAUGAAAACCAUAACUAGAUAGCAUUGAUCAAUGAAAAUGUCUUGGGAUAAA